rnacentral:rRNA from 1 species
AAACAUGGUUUUUUGUAUUUAAUUUAAAAUUGGUUCUGCUCUAUGAUUUGAUUAAAUGGCCGCAGUAAUUUGACUGUGUUAAGGUAGCAUAAUCAUUUGGUUUUUAAAUGAAAUCUGGGAUGAAAGAAUUGAUGAGAUUUAGGCUGUCUUAAAAUUAAAAUUUGAAUUUAUUAAUUAAGUAAGAAUACUUAAAUAUUUUUGUGGGACGAGAAGACCCUAUUGAAUUUUAUAUAAGUAUAUAUUUAUUUAUUUAUAUUAAUAUAUGUAUAUAUAUUUAUAUUUAUUUGGGAGGAAUAUUAAAUUUGAAAAACUUUAAUUAUAUAAAAUAUAAAUAAAUGAGAUUAAUUAAAGAGUGAUUUUUAAAUUAUAUUAGAAUUAAUUACCUUAGGGAUAACAGCGUAAUAUUUUUAGAGAGAUCAUAUUGAUAAAAAUGUUUGCGACCUCGAUGUUGAAUUAAGAUAAAAAUUAAGUGGAGAUUCUUAAUAUUUAAGUCUGUUCGACUUUUAAAAUCUUACAUGAU